AUUGAACGCUGGCGGCAUGCCUUACACAUGCAAGUCGAACGGCAGCACGGGUGCUUGCACCUGGUGGCGAGUGGCGAACGGGUGAGUAAUACAUCGGAACAUGUCCUUGAGUGGGGGAUAGCCCGGCGAAAGCUGGAUUAAUACCGCAUACGAUCUACGGAUGAAAGCGGGGGACCUUCGGGCCUCGCGCUGUAGGGUUGGCCGAUGGCUGAUUAGCUAGUUGGUGGGGUAAAGGCCUACCAAGGCGACGAUCAGUAGCUGGUCUGAGAGGACGACCAGCCACACUGGGACUGAGACACGGCCCAGACUCCUACGGGAGGCAGCAGUGGGGAAUUUUGGACAAAGGGCGAAAGCCUGAUCCAGCAAUGCCGCGUGUGUGAAGAAGGCCUUCGGGUUGUAAAGCACUUUUGUCCGGAAAGAAAUCCUUGGCCCUAAUACGGUCGGGGGAUGACGGUACCGGAAGAAUAAGCACCGGCUAACUACGUG
rnacentral:rRNA from 1 species